rnacentral:rRNA from 1 species
ACGGGAGGCAGCAGUGGGGAAUAUUGCACAAUGGGCGCAAGCCUGAUGCAGCGAUGCCGCGUGAGGGAAGAAGGUUUUCGGACUGUAAACCUCUGUCAUCGGGGACGAUAAUGACUGUACCUGAGAAGGAAGCUCCGUCCAACUACGUGCCAGCAGCCGUGGUAAUACGUAGGGAGCGAGCGUUAUCCGGAAUUACCGGGCGUAAAGGGAGUGUAGGCGGGACUGUAAGUCAGAUGUGAAAUAUGCCGGCUCAACUGGCAGACUGCAUUUGAAACUGCGGUUCUUGAGUGAAGUAGAGGUAAGCGGAAUUCCUAGUGUAGCGGUGAAAUGCGUAGAUAUUAGGAGGAACAUCAGUGGCGAAGGCGGCUUACUGGGCUUUAACUGACGCUGAGGCUCGAAAGCGUGGGGAGCAAACAGGAUUAGAUACCCUGGUA